rnacentral:lncRNA from 1 species
CUGAAUUGGAGUAUGUACUAAAAAGAGUUGAAGUGAUCACAAUUGUUCUCUUUUAGGUUCGAUCAAUCAGCAUCAAUGUUCGGAAAAAUCUUGCUUUUAACACACUGAGCCAGGAAAUUCUUCUGAAGGAAUUUUCAACCAUUUCAUGAAAAUGAACUCCUAAUGUGAUCAGAUGGCCACCAGAAGAGCUGGGACACAUUUCUACUAGCACUGUGGGUGGACUGUUGCGUCAUUGUUUCUAUUUCCUUUACACAUAACCUGCCUUUUUAGAGUACAAACAUAGGUCUUUGAUGAAUUCAGUUUCCCAUUGUUCCAAAUAUAUUGUCUAACUAAAAGAAUGGAAAUGACGCCCCAUCUCCCUGCUUAACGCGGACACAAAGCUCUUUGCUAAAAUUCUUGCCAACAGAAUACGCCCCAUCCUGGGUACACUCGUUUCUCCGGAGCAAUCGGGUUUUGUCCCGGAACGUCAGGUAGAGGACAACACAAGGCGUGCACUAGACAUAAUGGAACUCCUGACAGUACAUAGAACACAG